rnacentral:rRNA from 1 species
UACGUAGGUGGCAAGCGUUGUUCGGAAUUACUGGGCGUAAAGGGCGCGUAGGCGGCCGAUCAAGUUAGAUGUGAAAGUCCUGGGCUUAACCUGGGGACUGCAUUUGAUACUGAUUGGCUUGAAUUCGGGAGAGGAUAGCGGAAUUCCCAGUGUAGAGGUGAAAUUCGUAGAUAUUGGGAAGAACACCGGUGGCGAAGGCGGCUAUCUGGACCGACAUUGACGCUGAGGCGCGAAAAGCGUGGGGAGCAAACAGG